CGAGAGAUCAACUUACGAGCGAACAUAUUUGAGUGAACCUAUCGAGAAUCAUAUUAUACCAAAUGAGCUAUCAAAUCUCAAUCUUGAUAAAAAGCAUCUUCAGAAGCGUCAUCGUAUUUUUAGACGUGAUCUUGAACCAAGUAGAAUUCCAGUACGAACUCUACUACGUCUGAGAAACAAGAGCAGAAAGAAAACAAUAGAACCAUCAAAGAAGAAGGAAAACAAGGGAUAUGACAAAUAAACAUGAGCUGAAGAUGAAACAAUUACAAAAGUACAAAAUAAUGGACACUGCUACAAAACAAAAUCUGCAAGACAAAAAAGCAGACCAACACAAAACAAUGGAUACUGCGAAGAAGUAGAAACUUCUUGAGAAAUGCAGAGAGGAACACAGUUACUGUUGUAGUAAGAAGACACUGGAUUCAUGUGUGGAACAGUAUAAAAAGAAAAUAAGGGAAAGUCCUUGUUAUAUAUGUUUUGUAUGUAACACAUCACUUUAUAAAACAUAGGCAUGUGUAGCAUGCAAGAGUUAUUUUUUUGGUUGGGUGGGUUGAGAUUGGACAGUUUGUGUACUUGAUGUUUUUAUUUUUGUAACCGAAAAUGGCACAACUUUCAAAAGAACCAAAAUAUAGCAGAAAGACAGAGAAAAAAACCUAAUUUAUCUGAACUCACAUGGAUAUUAUGUUUAUUAUUGUCUAAAUACCAUACUUCUAAGUAAAAAUGAAAUGCUUUGGU